ACAACGUGAAGGUGUCAUAUUUGAAAUGGAAUGGCUCUAGAGUGAAAACCACCUUCUUCAGUUCCCUCUUUCUCUGAAGGUCCAAGGAAAGGAUCAUAAUCUAAGGUUCUGUGUUUUGACUCCCUGGGAUCUGUGACCUGAAAUGGCCCAGACCUUCACAGGAGCUCGGCUCCACAGAGAGUACUCUUUAUAGCCAGGCAGGAAGCUAUUGACCUCACCACCUUCCUGACCCAUGAGCAUGCCCAACCAACAGGACAGAAGCCAACUCCUACACUGCAACAAAAACCAAAGACCCAAACACCAUGCAGUUAUCCGCCCGGAAAGAGCUAAAGGCAAAGGUGUUUCAGAAACCACAGAACAAACUCAGUGAGUUCUGCCCACGCCAUGGGAAAAAAAGGAGAGGAAGUAAUGGAGGAAGGAAGGAAGGAAGGAAGGAAGGAAGGAAGGAAAAGAAAGAAAUUGGAAAAUGUCCAACUAAAUGGAAGCCAAGCUUUAAAGUCCCAGGGCCUGAGAGCACGCUGUGCUGAGCCUGCACAAGAUGGUGUGAGAGAGAACCAACGUGCCCAUCCUUGCCUCCUCUUGGCUUCACUCCCCUGGACAACAUGUAGGUCACAUGUGGAAAUCCUGUACGGGAACAGCUCCCUGGGGAGCAUCACAGACUGUAAAUUCCAAAGAAUGUUACGACCAAUAGAAAGAAAGCUCUUGCAAUUUUGUCAGCUGCAAAUGACUCCAAGGAAAGUCAGGGUCAGUUUUUAGACCUGGCAGUACCUUCGUGGCAGAAGGGCAGAUGCCGAAAGGUCAGUUUUCCUUCGCCACUUUCCCCAAGGAAAGAACUCUGGGACACUCCACUUGUGUUUUCCCUACCUGUGGUUUUCUGGUUAAGCCAAGUCAAUAAACUUGAAAUGUAGCUUUGGUUCAGAUGAUUCGCAGCGAGGGAAGAGCAAUUUUGCCUUCAAAGAGACCGAGCCCGGAGCCAGGAAAUGAGACUUAUGUUUCCGGGCUGCACUGGGAGAACACUGAGCUGUAGACUUCAAAGAGCCAAGCUCCCACCAAGUCCAGGGGUGUCUGGAGACGGUCCAGGCUUUGGCAGUGGAAGGGCACCUGCUGUCUGAGAGGAGAUGCUGAAGAGCCAUGUCUGCUGGGAGAGUCCAGGGUAUCAGGACACAGAUUGCUGAUCGAUUGUGUGGACCAAUAGUAAUUAAGGAUGUAAAGAGAAAGGACAGCCACUCACAAAACCACGUGGCCUUGGUUCUUUCUCCGCUAGAUCACCAAGACCCUCAGUGGCUUCAGUCAAGCCAUUUGUCCUCCCUGGGCUUCCAUUUUCUCCCCAGUAAGAAUGGGCAUGGUCAUAGCCCUCCUUAUCUCACAUCCCUGAUAGACAAGAACAUGUAAGACCAGCUCAAGAUUCCAGCAUCCUAUAGAGUGGUCUGCAGUCUCGAACACCUCCAUCACCACAGCAUUCAUUACGUCUUGGCUGUUACAACAAGCCAGCCUCCUUUCUUUCUGCUCAAAUCGGUUAAU